CUCAGGUCAUGAUCUCAGGGCCAUGAGAUUGAGCACUCACUGAGCACGGAGUCAGCUUGGGACUCUCUCACUCUCCCUCUGCUCCUCCUGCUUGUGCUCUCUCUUUUUCAAAUAAAUAAAAA